GAACUUAGCAGAGAUGCUUUGGUGCCUUUCGGGAACUCUGAGACAGGUGCUGCAUGGCUGUCGUCAGCUCGUGUUGUGAAAUGUUGGGUUAAGUCCCGCAACGAGCGCAACCCUUAUCCUUUGUUGCCAGCGGUCCGGCCGGGAACUCAAAGGAGACUGCCAGUGAUAAACUGGAGGAAGGUGGGGAUGACGUCAAGUCAUCAUGGCCCUUACGAGUAGGGCUACACACGUGCUACAAUGGCGCAUACAAAGAGAAGCGACCUCGCGAGAGCAAGCGGACCUCAUAAAGUGCGUCGUAGUCCGGAUUGGAGUCUGCAACUCGACUCCAUGAAGUCGGAAUCGCUAGUAAUCGUAGAUCAGAAUGCUACGGUGAAUACGUUCCCGGGCCUUGUACACACCGCCCGUCACACCAUGGGAGUGGGUUGCAAAAGAAGUAGGUAGCUUAACCUUCGGGAGGGCGCUUACCACUUUGUGAUUCAUGACUGGGGUGAAGUCGUAACAAGGUAAGCGUAGCGAG
rnacentral:rRNA from 1 species